UACGGGGGGGGCAAGCGUUGUUCGGAAUUACUGGGCGUAAAGGGCUCGUAGGCGGCCAACUAAGUCAGACGUGAAAUCCCUCGGCUUAACCGGGGAACUGCGUCUGAUACUGGAUGGCUAGAGGUUGGGAGAGGGAUGCGGAAUUCCAGGUGUAGCGGUGAAAUGCGUAGAUAUCUGGAGGAACACCAAUGGCGAAGGCAGCUCGCUGGGACGGUACUGACGCUGAGGCGCGAAAGCGUGGGGAGCAAACAGG
rnacentral:rRNA from 1 species